rnacentral:rRNA from 1 species
GACGAACGCUGGCGGCGUGCUUAACACAUGCAAGUCGAACGGAAAGGCCUGCUUUCCCUUGUGGUUUGCGGGUACUCGAGUGGCGAACGGGUGAGUAACACGUGAGUGAUCUGCCCCCAACUUGGGUAUAAGCCUGGGAAACUGGGUCUAAUUCCCGAUAGGACUGCAGGGUGGUGCCUGUUGUGGAAAACGAUUUUCUAGUGGUUGGGGAUGAGCUCGCGGCCUAUCAGCUUGUUGGUGGGGUAAUGGCCUACCAAGGCGGCGACGGGUAGCCGGCCGGAGAGGGUGGACGGGCACAUUGGGACUGAGAUACGGCCCAGACUCCUACGGGAGGCAGCGGUGGGGAAUAUUGCACAAUGGGCGGAAGCCUGAUGCAGAGACGCCGCGUGGGGGAUGACGGCCUUCGGGUUGUAAACUCCUUUCGACCGCGAGGAAGCCACCUGGUUGGAAGGGUGGUGACGGUAGUGGUAGAAGAAGCACCGGCUAACUACGUG